GUAGAAGCCAACACCAAACUGACCAAUCAUGGACACAUCAGCACCAGCAGCCAAUGCCUCCAUGAACUCCUUGGUCCCGGACCUUGCAAUCGUACCAAGGUUGUUCACCAGAUCUGACUUGGUCAUACCAAUACCACUAUCAAUAAGCGUGAGCGUGUUUGUGGCCUUGUCAGGGACAAUGUGGAUGAACAGCUCUGGCUGAGCAUCAAGCUUGCUCUUGUCAGUCAGGCUCUCGAACCUGAUCUUAUCCAAUGCCUGCAGAACAGAGCAUCCAAUUUAGUGAAAAUUUCACAAACGGCAUCCAAUCAACAAUGUAAAACAACUAGGAUAUUAACCGGAGACUGAUGCUUUACAAAAACUAAGAAAACAAUGCUUGUUUAGAAUGAGCAUACAGCCUAUUUUCGCAAUUUUGCUCAAACUAGGCUACUUGGGAUUCCAAUGUUGUGGGAGUAGUGAAUUUAACUGAACAAAAUCAAGAGUAAUUCUAUCUACAUGCAAAUCUACCUUAGAGAUUUGAAGGUGGGAGACCAAUGAUUCUAAGAAAUUAAUAAAUCUUAAUAAUCAGCACAAACGCAAUCUAGUCGUCUUAAUAUUUAAGCUUAUAUGAUUGAAGGAUUUAAAGCAUAGCACAUACGCUCGAUUGAGCUUUCAACAGAGAGUAAUUGUUUUGAACGCUAGUUUAAUGGGCAAAUCAGCUCACUAACCACGGGAGUUUCAUAUUUGACAUACCACGGAGUCCAGAGAUCAAAAUAAUUUAAUGAUACGCCUUAUGCACAGAACGGUACACAUAUCGCAGAUUCACAGUAUGAUUGAAAAUCACACCGAUCUAUUUUUUAUGCAUCAUAACGUCCACAGAUCUAGAGCGGCAAGGGCAAACAAAAACAAAGGUACAGGGGCCGCGGGGUAGGGAGCUUACAUCGGAGGAGUUGGAGAUGAGCUCGCGGAGGAAGAUCUCCUUGUUGGAGUAGAAGGUGUUGAUGAUGAGCGAGAGCAACUGGUUGAUCUCCGCCUGGAAGGCAAAGGUCUCCGUCUCCGAGGCCAUGGCGCCGGAACCCGAGGGGAAGAAGACGGCGGCUAGGGUUUUUGAGCGGGUACCAGGGUUGCUGUAAGGCUAGGUCAGAGAGGGGAUGCGUGGGGGAGCGGAUUUAUAGUGAGGGGAGGGGUUCUGGAACGUUCUAUGCCACGCGAUGCAAUGGGGAGACGACGCGCGAGGUCAGGGUCAAGUUGACUAGUCGUUGGGCCCGAGUUCCUGUGGCCCACAUGUCAGUUAGAUAGUCUAAGUUGCUCUCCAGAAGCUUCUACGUUUUGUCUAUGAAUGAGUCAACGAUGAAAUGGGAAUGAAUUCAUUUCUUAUGCACAAUUUUCACAAUUUAGCAAACCAACGUGAUUUAAAUCUCUCUCAUGUAACAUACUACGAGACAAUUCAUUGAGAAUGUUGUUUAAGUUCAAAAUUGCGCUAAAUCAAUGCCAAUAAUUUAGGAUCGGAGGGAGUACUACCGUUGUUCAAACUAUAAGAUUUUAUAAUUUUGUCUUAAAUCAAACUUCUUCAAAUUUAUAUAAAACUACCGAUGUCUACAACUCUAAGUUAAUGUUAUUAAAUUCCCUAUAAAUCUUUAUAUACUUAUUUGAUAUUUUAGAUAUUGGUGUAUUUUUAUAGCGUUGGUCAAAUUUUAACGAGCGAAUUCAAAUUUUGCCCCAUGUUUGGUAAUUGUCAAAUGUUUACCCCGUUAUUUAAUUUUGUGCUAUAUUUUUAUCCUCUAUUUGUAAAUAUGAGUCCGUUUUUACCCAUCUAACCAAUUUGCCUGGUUUUUGACAUGUUGUACCACCUGUUGCUGUUGGGGUGACAUGGCUAGUCAAUGCCUAACAUGUUGAAAGCCUACUUUGGUAUGGCACUUUCUCCCUCUCCUUAACCGCCCCGGUUACCAACACCAACUCAUUUUCUCCAUGUUUUUUUUCUUAUAGUUAGGUCAUAGUUUUUGAGAAUUUCAAAUCUUCUACUCCCUCCGUACAACAAAAGAUGUCUCAAGUUUAUCAAAAUUUGGAUGUAUCUAGACAUGACUUAGGGAGCGUUUGGUUUCUUCGCUCAGUUGGCCCGUUGCUGAGCUAGCUCACCUAUCAUGGCUGGGCAUUGCUAGUUUUCCUGUGUCUUGCCAUUUGGUUGUUUGCUUUUGAGUUGACCAGAUUGUGGUUUCCGUGAGGAUCAGGCAGUUUUUCUUCUUGGGACCGCUUCUUGUCGUCGGAGGCGAGCCGAUCUGGCUCUCCCUUGCGGGCAAGGAAUUUCUGGCCCGUUUGAGCUAGCUUGCCUCCAAAAGUCAGGAUAAAUUGACAGAUCCAAACGUUGGGCCUUGCUGGGCUAGGCUAAUUGAGCUUUUGCCUGGGAACCAAACGAACCCUUAGUGUAUAGAUGCAUUCAAAUUUAGUCAAAGUUGAGACAUCUUUUGUUGGACGGAGGAAGUAUGAGUUUUUUUUGUCAAAUGUAAAAAAAUCAAAAUGUUGUUUCUCAAAAAGUUCAGAAAUUGUUGUAAAAUUUAAUGGAAAAAACUUUUUUUUGUGACCUAGCUAAAAUACAAGUCCAUUGCUUUAGGUUUUAGCACAUUUAGAGCACUGCAAUUCAUUAUCAUGUCCAUGGUACAAAACGCUUUUUUAUUUUAAUACAUUGAGGAUAGAACAGGCUCGUGUUGAAUACACGAUCAUUUACAUUUGUAACUUAAAAAAAAAUCUUUGAACUAUUGUAUAAUCUUUGAUGUUCAUCUCUCGAGCACAUGCUCCCGUUAGCUUUUGUGCCUCUCUGUCAUAUCUUGUUCUGUUUUUUUGUUCAUGUUCGAAGAUUUGAAGCAUCCUCCAAUUUAGAAAAAAAAAACGUGCAAAGAAGUUUCUGGAAGAAGGGGAGGCUCAGAGGACGCGGAGCAUCUCGUCAGCGAAAACUCCCAACGACCCGGAUGCGUACUCCAGAUGCGUUCAAUUCAAUCCAGUGGUCCAUUUCCAAGCUCCAACCAGGCCCAUGGAAACAAGACACGGGCAACUACAGCUGGUAAGGGUAAACGAAAACCAGCAAGAAAUUUCGACUUCGAGCGGUACUUAUCUCUGAACGUGCAUGCAGCAGACGGAGAUACAGUCAAACAAAAGAGGAAAAGGGCAAAAGAAUGAUACCUUGCUUCGCAGGGUAGUAGAAUCCGGGACCAGAUUGGUUGUACAUCCAACUCCAACUGUAAAGACUAGAAGAAGACACAAUUACAAGAGCUUCUUUGCAGAGAACUCUUUGAUAAGGGAGGUAUCGUUCCGUUUCAAAAAAAAAAAAAGACAAGGGAGGUAUCGUUUGUGGGACUCCCUUGAAAUAAAGCUUUCAGCAACAACAACAACAACAAAAAAAACUCCCUUGAAAUAAAGCUUUCAACAAAAGAAGAACUCUUCAGUCAAUCUCAGGAGUUUACAGGUCUCCAGGCCUAACAACUCAUUAGAUCAUGCUUUGCAUUCAGAGGGAGUCGGACCAGAAGGGAAUACUCAAGCUUAGGUAAGACUGAGGUACAAUGAGUGUCAGAUAAAAAGAAAGACUGAGGUACGAUGGACUGGAGACUCACAGGAUCGCGAUCUACAUCAUCGCUCAGAGCGAAUCGCUCUGGCCAUUACUAGGACCACUGGACCAACGAUCCUUUUUUGAGUUGUACAAAGUGGAGCAAGGCAGUGUAUGUCUGUCCAAAGUGGCGACACAGAAGGGUGUUGUAAGGAACAUUACAAGACUGUGAUUCCAAUGCAAAGAUGGAUUUUUGGUUGAAUACUGUAGUGAAAACUUAUAUGAUCCAAAGAAACUACGGAAAUUCGUGCGUGUCAGAAACGUUUGAUGCGCCUGCAUCCAGGAAUACCGGCACACCUUCUCUGGAUUUCUCUUGAGUUUUGGUUUGAUUUUGCUUGCGCUCGAAAUAGUUGGCGUGGCUGAUGAGCGGCAUGCACGAGUCGAGAGCACAGCAUUCUGGUUGCCCUGUUGGUGAAGCGAGGUGUGUGUUCUGCACAAGUGCGGCAUCAGUACCAGGAAAUUCCCGGAAAAACACUACUACACGAUGCCAUCGAGCUGCCUUCUGUUUUUCCAGCCGCAGUGUUCUUGACUCGAACAGAUUGCAGCUUCCUUCCUUCCAGAACGAUCUUAAUUCAUGUAAAAGUGGAUUGUUUCGAAUGGAGGCGUCCAAGUCGUCGGCUUGGUCGUCGAUUUUCGUUCUGCAGAUACUUCCUCUUGUUUCGAUCAGACAGAAACUCAACUUGGCGGAUCAUCGAGAACAACACCAAUCACGUGUAUGCACUGCUGUUCAAUCAGUACUCCGUACAAGAUUUGUUCGUUAACGCAACACGCUGGCGGAUCGAUGCCUGCCGACACCUAUCAAAUCACGCGUGCACUGCAGUGUUAUUCAAGCACAUGAUUUGUUUGUUAGGUGUGCACGUCAAAUUGAAGGCCCCCCAUGCAUGCAUCCUGGAUCACACGCGCAAUAGUACUACACGAUUGCCUUUCCCCCCUUUGUCUUAUAGCAAAAUCCCACAGAUGCAUAACGUGUUCAUUCCUCUUCCAUUAAUUUUCAGAAGAUUUUUCCUUGCCAGGGCCGGCCAUGAGAUAUCUACAUACUGUAUAUAGGUUCCGUCCAGGCUGCAGAGAAGCAAAGUCAUCAGAGAGGUACUGGAUCACCGGACCAAGCUAAUAAUAGUUGCUUAGCCAUGGUCACGAAGAUUUUUCUUGGUAUUUCCCUUUUCGUGAUAUCCAUCCAACUGGUCGCCGGCGACGACGACGGCAGGCUGAGCAAGGUCGUGCGGCAGGUGCCGGCGAUGUACGUGUUCGGGGAUUCGACGCUGGACGUCGGCAACAACAACUACUUGCCGGGUAACGAUGUCCCCAGGGCCAACAUGCCACCGUACGGCGUGGAUUUCAGAGGCUCCAAGCCCACCGGACGGUUCAGCAAUGGCUACAACAUCGCCGACUCUAUCGGUGCGUACAUAUAUAUACAUGUGUAUAACUGUACAUAUGUAUCCUGUAUUUAUAUGCGCACGUACGCAUGAGGCGUGAGAGACUUAUAUAUUACAGCAUACUGUACAUAUUUUUGCAGCGAGGACGCUGGGACUGAAGGAGAGCCCUCCGGCUUAUCUGUCGCUCGCGCCACGAAGCAGCAUCCGUCUGGUCCUCGCCGCGCUCAGCGAAGGCGUCAGCUACGCGUCGGCUGGAUCCGGCAUACUGGACUCCACUGUAAUCAAGCGAGCUUAAUUGCUUCUCAGCCUAUAAGCACUGUUGUCAAUGUUAAUCACGAUGGUUGAUGCAUCUAUGUCACCAUGUGCAGAACGCUGGGAACAACAUCCCGCUGUCGAAGCAGGUGAGCCACUUGGCUUCCACGAAGCGCAAGAUGGAGGCCACGGUGGGCGCCCGCGCCGUGCGCCGCCUGCUGUCCGGCUCCUUCUUCCUCCUCGGCACCGGCAGCAACGACGUAUCCGUCUUCGCCGCGACCCAGCCGGCGGCCGGUGACGUGGCCGCGUUCUACGCCAGCCUCGUCUCCAACUACUCGGCCGCCAUUACCGUAAGCAUCCAUCCAUCCACGCAGACUCGUACAAUACCAGAUGCAUUCUUAGACUAUUUACGUAUAUACAUACAGGAUUUAUACGAGAUGGGGGCGAGGAAGUUCGCGGUGAUAAACGUGGGCCUGGUGGGCUGCGUGCCAAUGGCGCGGGCGCUGAGCCCAACGGGCUCGUGCAUCGGCGGGCUGAACGACCUCGCCUCGGGCUUCGACGCCGCGCUGGGCCGGCUCCUCGCGAGCCUGGCCGCCGGGCUGCCGGGCCUGUCGUACUCCCUCGCCGACUACCACGGCCUGUCGACGGAGACCUUCGCGAACCCGCAGGCGUCCGGGUACGUGAGCGUCGACAGCGCCUGCUGCGGGAGCGGAAGGCUGGGGGCGGAGAGCGACUGCCUGCCGAAUUCCACGCUGUGCGGCGACCAUGAUAGGUUUGUGUUCUGGGACCGCGGCCACCCUUCCCAGCGGGCCGGCCAGCUCAGUGCCGAAGCUUUCUAUGACGGCCCGGCCCAGUUCACGGCUCCUGUCAGCUUCAGGCAGCUGGCUGACAUGGAUGCUAGCUAUUAGUAGAGGAUUAUUAUUGGUUUUGCAUGUAGUUAUGCUGAGCUACCUUCGAAUAAAAUAUGGUACUUCCCCCCUCUCAUAAUUCUGGUCGAAAUAUUACAUGUAUUUAGUUAUUUUUUAAAAUAAAUAUAUUUAUUUUUGGAUAAAUUUGAGACCGGAAUUAUGAAACGGAGGGAGUACCAAGGAUUGGAUCUUCGAUCUUCCAUGCACUCCCGUCGUAAGAACUUGAGUGAGGAUCCAUCAUGCAUUCUGGCUAAGGAUGUAAUUAAUUAUGAUUUCAAAUUUUCAACAAAUGCAACAACAAGAAUGGUCAUGGACUAUAAAUUAGAGACCAUUUGAAAUCCAUUUUACGCUCAGUUGCCACAAAGGGAUGAUAAAGUAGACCGUAAUCGUGUAGACCAAAUAACCGACCGAGUAAUAUAAUAAGUUCAAACCGACCGAGUACUUAUUUAUUUUUGAAGUUAAACUGUAAGGGUUGCGCGAUUGCAGUCCGACAGUAUAUAGAUAUAUAUAAUUCUACAAAAUGAGACACCAAAGUACGACCUUCGAAGAUCGAACUCUGGUGGGCUGUCAGCAUACCUGGCUAGCUGACCACCUAAACUAUGCUUGGUUCUCGACCUAGUACUUAUUGGAUUACUCGGUGGGUUAAGUGAACUUAUUGGAUUACUCGGUCGGUCAUGUGGUCUACUCGACUACAGCCUAAUUUAAAACUUCCCGCACACCUUGUUUAUGAACCUUGUGCUAGCUGUGGCAUGGCAGUAACUGCAGCUCUGCACGGACCGGAAUCAACUGAAGCUGCAGUUGGUGUAUUGGUCGGACUCGGAGUCAAAUUGAUCCCCGCGUGAUGCAUGGCGCCCGGGGUACAAAUAUGCCGUUGCCAUGCCUGCCCUCGAUCGAAAUCAAAACCGAAAUCGAAGGCUCUCGAACCGGCCCCCGGCCGGCGCUUCGACGUCACCGUUCGGCGGCGAGGCCAUGCCCAUACCCCAACGGCUGGCUGUCGUCGUCAAAACGCCGCCUCCACGGCCGGAACGGCAGCAGCGAGCACCGUGGUCCGACCGCGGCCCUGCCGGCCGACGUCCUCUCGCUGAUCCUGGCGCGCGCGUCGUCGGGCGCCGCUGACGUGGCGGACACGCACGCCGCGCUCAUCUGCCGCCGCCCUCUCGAUACCACACCCGCCUUGCCCUCGGUUUCUUCCACCAGCAACACGAACGCGUCCGCGCCGUCUUCCCCAGCCGCCGGACGACGACCGCGCAGCCCCGCUUUGUGCCCACAGCGUCCGCCUCGCGCCUCCUCCUGGGCCCGGGCUCUCAUCAUCUCGAUCCAGGUCCAGGCCCACCAGGCCUGUUCGACUACGCCCGCCCGGUCGCGUCCCGGAACGGGCGCGUCGUGCUGGCGCUGCGGCGACGGGCUGACGCUCAGCGUGUUGAACCCCAUGACCGGGGACGUGUCCGUGCUCCCCGCGCUCUCGGGCGACGACUGCCCGGGGCAGUGCUACGUGUGCGCCCUGCUCACGAGCGACGACCUCGCCGAUCGAACCACCGGCGCCCGCGGGCUUCUUCUUCCGGGUGCUCCUCGUCUACAACGGCCGGCGCCGCAGCGGCUUCACGGCGCUGCUGGCCUUCUCGUCGGACACCGGCAUGUGGGGCCCGGAAGGCCGGAAGCCGGGGCCCAAGAUGAAUGCCGCCAGGCUGCGCCGGGUAGGCCCCGCGCGCCGUGGCCGUCCGCGGAGUCGUCCAGUAGCGCCACCAUGGACGUGAGCUUCGUGCCCUACAGCACCUCCAGCCUGUACUAUUUCCCGGACUACCGCGUGCUGGGCGUGUCACCGGAUGGGAGCCUCAGCUUCGUCUACGCGACUCUCAAUGGACUCAGCAUCUUUGUCGAGACCCUAGAGCCGCAGGCGGGUCAGUGGGAGACGCGCGAAUGGAUCAAACUGCCCCAGGUCCAGGUGAGCCAUGCGACGACCGCGGUUAAGCUGCGGUGGUUCAACGAGAAGAGCGGCACCGUGCUCUUCACCUUGAGACAGCAAGACGGAGACGACGCCACCAGCGGCGCCUUCCUGUUGAAUAUCGCCACGAGGUCGCUGGAGAAGCUUGCCGGCGGCGUCGAAUGCCAUGGGUGGAGGAACGUUUGCGGAUAUGAGAUGGACCGUGUGGCGCUCAUUGCGUCCACUGCCCGCUUCUGAUCUUCGUACGACACGUACGUACUUUUGGUUCUAGCCAUCGAGAAGAAAACAAGACAUGGAUGUUCAGCAAUUAGUGCUGUUUAACAUAGCUAUAAAGAAUAUGUCAAAUUAUUUUAUUUUGAUAGAAUCUAUCCGAUAAUUACAUAUAAGCUCAUUGACAUAAACUUGAGAGGAGCUGAUCCCAAACGUCACCUCUCGGACCCCAAAAUGUCGCUUGAGAAAACAGCUUAGUUUACAACAACCAUCCACGAAUUCGGAAGCACAAAGGUAGUUUUUUUGAGAGUUCUCCCAAAGGAGGCCCGAGGGGCAAUACACUUGCCGGAGCAAAAUAACCUUCUAGGUAGAAGCUAAGGGAUGCAGCAUAGGUCAUGAUGUAACCACCGAACUGGGGAACACGAUCAACAGAAGGAGGACUGUCAUGGGCAGCCAGAACGCCACAAGACAGCACCAGAGUGCAGUGAGGAUCAAACCAGAUAGCUCAAACAAAACAUGAAAACUACUGGCAAGAGAAACCACAAGCAUCAUCAUUAAGAAGACGCACCAAUGUCAUCUCAUGACAAAAGAUGACGCUGGCUCAUUAAGCAUGAAGAGAUUGCACAAAGUCUUCACCGGAGGGUGGGUUGUCCGAGAGAAGGAAAAGUAGUAAUAUGGUGGUGACAUGCUCUCGAAGAGUGCCACUAGUGUAAAAAUGUCUCCCCAAAGGGGGGGUGAGUUACCCAAUUGAGGAGUGUAAAAGGAGGGCAUAUACGACGACAUAUGAUGACAACAAGGGCAAUCCUGACAGAAGUUUCGAGAUUUGGAGAAGCUAAAUGGAGUUGGAUGAAAUGGGGUGGCGGAUGGAUAUCAGAUCGACCAAAGUUAGCACAACGCACUCUAUCACGGCAUCUCCGGCAGGAGGAAGCCGUCUCCAUGGCAGCCAUCUGCGAAACCAUGGAUCUUGGAAGCACAGCAAUCAAGUUGGUAUAGAGACCUCCAAGUAUAAGCCACGACACCAGGCGUUAAACUAUUGGUGCCGCCACCACAGCUGCCACCUGCAAACCAUGGUUACCGAGGGCAUGGCAGUGCCACAGGCAACGGAGGGAGGGACGAGGAGCAGCAUCACUCUAAUCAAGGUGAACAUCCGGAAAAAUUUGCAAUCUGAGGUGGCAGCGGGUUGGUGGAGUGGGGAGCAAUGAAUGAAGGGGGCGAUACCAGCACUGAAGAUGGCCGAUGAGGAGGCGAAAAUCGGAGUUGGAGGAGCCGUGGAGGGCAGCUUCGGAUCCUGGGACGCGGGCGGAGGCGACGGGCCAGGACUAGGCCGAGCGGCCCGCGGGAGGCGAGACCUGGGCCGGUGUGGAGCCCCAGACGGCGAUGUCAGCGGGCGCUCGGCCGAGCAGACGCCUGAUCUUGCCGUCAGACAAGCCAUCUCGGGAGGGGAGGAGGUGGGUACCGUCGACAGCGAGGUGGGCAGGAGCGGCAGGAGGGAGCAGCGAGUCAGCAGUCCGCCGGAUCUGGCCCGCGCCCGCCGGAUCUACCUUUAUCACGGCGACGACGAGCAUAGGCUACGAGGGAGCUAGGCUAGUCGGAGGCGCGCGGACGUGGCCUUGGCUGAGGACGAUGGCGAGACGACGAUGAGGGGCGGUGCGAACGUGAACCUGCGGCGCAACGCUCUGGAUCAGGAAAGCACCACACAGAGCAGGCCCUUGCACGGGAGAUGGGGUCGAUGGCGAGGCGAGGGGUGGUGAUGGGCGGCGCAGAUGAGGACCCGCGGCGCAGCAUUCCGGAUCUGGACGGGCACGCUGCUCGCCGAAUCCGGCCACCGCAGGCAGGGGGACGAGGCCCGGAAAGCACCUAGGGCCGCAGCCUCGCAGAGCAGGGCGCUCGCAUGGGACAAGCGGCAGCAGCAGCCCCGCCGCCACCAUCCUCGUCCGCUGCGCGAUUUCCGGCGACCAACUCUGAUGGCGACGAGGGGAAGCAGGUGGAGGGAGGCGGCGCUCGGAGGGAAACCUAGUCGCCCCCGAGUCGCUCUCGGGAGGACGACGCGAGGGACGCGUUUUUCCACAAAGGUAUUUAUAUGAGUUGCAUCUGACUAACUGCUUGACAUUAAUAGUUUAUCACAACACAAAUACAUACAAACAGCAAGAACCUUCUUAAAGACUUUCCAGAUCGGAUGAAAUGCGGAUCACUUACUAAUCAAAUACACAGCUGAACUAUCAUGAUGUACUAUAUGCCAAAUAAUCCUAUGCGAUUUGGAAUGAAGAAGAUUGCCGUGAUGAUCAACAAUAUUAACAACAUGAGGUUCAAUACACGAGUAAUUUACAAAAAUCACUGCACAGUAGCUACCAUCAGUCAGUGGCGGAGCCAGGAUUUUGUCAAGACCAGGACAGUUGCUCCCAAUCGCUAGAAUUAGCAAGUAAGACCCAGACCAAAUCGUGAAAUCAUCAAAAUUACCAAAGGAAAAAGCUUCUACGCCCUGGGCCGCGGUCUCCGCCCCUGCCGUCAGGAGCAUUUCUUGAAAACGGGAAACUUGCUUUAAGACAUGAACAAUAAAUUUAAGCACAAAUAAAAAGCAUGAAGACACAAUUAUCGAAUUGUGAUGUAAAGCUUUGUUUUCUUUUUCUAUAAACCAUUUUAUAUUGAUUUGAAGACAGGUUGUGUUCACAGGAAAUCACAAUGCCGGCACCUUGAUUGGAUGAAAACUUUGUUUCUUUUCUUCUAUAGACCAUUUUAUAUUGAUCCGAGGACAGUGUAAAGCUUUGUUUUCUUUUCUAUAAACCAUUUUAUAUUUAUUUGAGGACUGUGUAAAAGGACUCGAUACAGAAACAUCGGACCCGAGGUUUAGGCAUGGAGGUAACAUUGAACAUAGUACAUACAUUAGUAUUUUAACAGGGUUGUACAACAUCAAUUGGCUUAAAACGAACAGGGCGUAUAGGAGCUUGGCCGCUUGGAAUGGUGGACUCCGGAUAAAGUGGGUUCAGUUGCAGUAUUGAACAGGUUUCAGAGAAUACAACGAAGUUCAUGAAAAGGUUGAAGUGCUUCGGGAGCAAUUCCGCAACAAAAUUGGUCAAAUUAAGGUAGUAACAGCAGGUGAUGCGACUUCUCACUUCACUUCUCAGUUCAAUAAAGCUCCCUUUAUCGGAAAAAAAAACAAAAAUUAACAGAAAGAUACUAAGAUAUCUAUACCAAUAUAUUAAAUUGGAGUAUGUGGUGAUGGUACGAGUGUCGCGGUGCAUCACUUCACCAAAAUUACGAAUCUGCCAUCGCUGUCCCACGUGUCUUUUAAUCCCGGCUCCCGCAGUCCUCAAGCGCAGAAAAAACACGUACCACAAAAAAAAAUACAAACUAACAGAGCCCUCAUCGCGCCUCCUCCUCCUCUCCUACGAAUCUCACCCCCACCCCCUGCCCGAUCCGGAUCUCGCCGCCGCUCUUGGUUGCCUCCACCGGCUCGUGCGUGUCGGCGGCGUUCGUGUGCGGAAGGCGGCUCCGUCACGUGCUCCAACCGCCGCCUCCACCGGCUCUUGCGCGCCGGUGGCUCCCCGCGGGACUUGGACGGCGAUGAGACGAGCCUGAGGCCGGGAUGGCGGUCGCUUCGCACAAGGCAGCAAGGACUGCGUCGGCGCGAGCCAUCGGUGGCCCUCUGCACGGGCAGUGGCACGCGGCAACUAGUGGCCGGACGCGAUGUGUGGCGGCGCGCGGGCGCGGCGAACGGGCGGACAAGGCUGCGAGAGGGCGCAGGCGGACGGCGCACAGGCGGCAAGUGGGAGCAAACGGCGCAUGGGAGUGGACGGGCAGCGGGAAUCUACGGGUGGAGGCGGGGCGCACAAGCGGACGGCCGUGCAUGGCGACGUGAUGUUCGGUGGCAGGAUGAAUCGGGACGGGGAGAGGAGGAGUUUGCACUCAGUGUGAAUGGAGAGGAUAGUCAGAGAGAGCGAGAAAUUGAGAGAAGAUAUUUGAGAAAUAAAAUACGGAGUAGAAGUAAUAGUAGAGCACAAGGAGAAAUGUAGAAGACAUGUGGAAAAAAAAAAGAAACUAGUGUAUAGCCCACGAAAAUAAAUAUAUCAUAAGCGAUAUAUACAUAUGUACUCAAUUUUCCGUUGUUCCGGACCAACGUACGGUUCUUUUGCUAGUACUACGUAUACAGGAGAUGAUUACCAUACGCAGUUCGAAACUCAUAGACCCCCACCACCAUAUGACACCCUUAACCCCAUCUACUUUCUGCACAUGACAUCUAUGAACUGACCCCAUCUACUUUCUGCACAUAAAAACAAGUGAAGGGGAAACCUGGUAGAAUCAGGCGCUGACCCUUUAUAAUAGCGCCAUUCAAUAAGAUAAACUGAGCUUUGGUUGGAGAAUAAAAUCUGCACAUGACAUCUAUGAACUGUAAGAUAUAAUCAGAAAAUGCUCUCUAACAUAAAACAAAGCAAUAUUGGUUUACAGUAAAACUAUAUCUCUUGACUGAGGAUUCACACUUGACUUCCACAUAUUGUGGGAAAUAGGAAUGAGCCCAGCAAAACAUUCCCGAAACUAAGUCACCUUUAGAUGCCUAUGAUAUAAGUUAUAACACUAAAAAAUGUAUAAGGAAAUAAGGAACCACUCAGAUUUCAGCCUUGAAAGUAAUUACCAUCAUUCAGGCAAGCAAGAAGGCGUCAACAAAAAUAAUACCUGAGCAAUAACCCAGGCAAAGAUCAGAAGCUUUUCCUGUAAAAGAUAUUUACUGUUUCCCACUAUUUGGGCGGUAAGGUGUAUUACGGAGUAGCACCUUUGGCUUCCUUCUUAAAGUCAAGGCAAGCACAACGAAGAUUGCAACCUGACAAAAGCAAUGUUCAGUCACAAACUGACAGUCAAACAUCAACACCAACAAGAAACUGACGUCAUGCAUUAUUGUAAUUACAUGCUCAAUAAUCAAGAGUUAGAGACUUUUAAUGGUCAAAAUACAAGAGUAAAAUCUAUUUUGAACCUUGUCUUUGUAGAGGUUGGCUAAAUCAAACCCUGAACGUGCAAAUCCCCGAAGUUGCCACCCUCACCUCCCUAAUCCCGGUCUAAAAUUGCUUUAAAUGCGUUUAGAAGCCGGGAUCGCUGACGUGGCAGAGCCAAACCCGGGAAUCUUGACUUCUGUUGAGCUCAGUUUCCUCUCAAGUUGUGUCCAUUCAUCUCAAUUUGGUUGCGACUCGUAGCAAAUUCUCCUCUUCUCUGUCUCAUGGUUGUUAACUGUUCAUUCUGAACAACACGGUUGUUGUGGAUAUAUGGAGUGGCAUGAUGGCCCGAUGAUGCCGUUUCUUCGGCAAUUGCUACUCGAUCUAUGCAAUACAAUACAGUAUGGGCUUGUGAUGUUCAAGUUAAUGUGGAGCCAAUUGAAGCACAAAGAGCAAGAAAUGUGGCUGUUGCUGCACUAAGACAGGAGCUUGUUGAGAAGAAUGCAGAGAUUGAAGCUAUUAGGGCUAGAAAUGAGACAGGGGACAGGAAGAUGUAUGAACUUGUUGUGUAUGCAGUCCUGUUUUUUCUUGCUGGUUUAGUGGCAGGAAUUCAGCAUUGAGUUGUAUUGGUGUAUGGAAUUUCUGGAAGAAUGGCAGGAAUUAAUCAGUCAUCUGUAUGUGCCUUUGCUGUGAAAGAACGGCAGAUUCCAUGUGAAUUUUGACAGCACAUACUUGUGUAUUUCCUAUGUAUUUUUACAACACUUUUCUGUAUAUUUUGACAGCAGAAACUGAACUGAAUAAUGCAAAGAAAAGAUCACAGUUUUCUGAACAUUAUGACAGCACAUGUUGACAGGAAGAAAAAACAGACCCGAUCAAUCCAGCGUUCAAUCAUUCCAAAGAGACCACAUGUUGACCGGAAGCACAAACUGGGACUGAAAAUAAGCUGCUGGCGCCACUUUAUGGACCCCUGUUUGGAAAACCCGUUUUAGCAUCUUUAGACCGGGAUUUGGAAGUUUAGGGUGCCAACUUUAGGGAUUUGCAAGUCAGGAUUCCAUCUACAUUUCUACAAAGACAAGGUUUAAAAUAGAAUUUACUCGAUUACCAAUCUAUAUUUUAUCAUAUCCAAGAUCUCUAUGCAAUGCAGAAUGUCAGCAAAUAAAAUAUACAAUUUGCAGAACCUACCUAUUAAAUGAAUGAUGGUUGUUCGAGAACCAGGUCUUUCUACCUGAAUCAGCACUUCAUUGCAACCAAAAUGGUGCUAGAAUCGGUUGACAAGGGUCCAGUAUUGAAACAUAACAUUUGCGAUUAAAAUAUAGUUUGUGUUUUCCUUCAUGAACCUACGAUACAUAUGAUGAACAGGUGAUAGGUAAAGUCAUCAUGGAUUGAAUGCUACCUGGGCUUUGGAGUUCGUUGGACAACCUUCUCCGAAUUUUCCGGUCCCACUGCUUAACCUGACAACUCAGAAAUGAUUUUAUCCAUACACCACAAAACGAAUUCCCCCAGGGCAUUGGGAAAUCUCUGAUUGAUCCAAUCACUCGCCAUCUUGCAAACUGGCUCAGGAAUAUAGCACAAUGGUAUCUGCUCAAUACAUCAUACAACAACCAAUUAGGCGCAUCGCAAAAACAAUUCAAGUAUAAAGCAAGGUAAUUCUCAUUCUUAAAUAUCCUGAUGUAAGGUAAAUGUCAAUCACAAUGGUGAUGCAGAAACACAUGCAAUCUCUGCUAGUCAUUGAAGCAUGCAGGUGAAAGAGCAAUAACUAAAGAUGAGCUUGCAGAUUAUUCAACAAGUGAAGAUGAUCAAGCAUUCAAGCCCAAGAUCAAAAGGCGAGUGAAGGUGAAGCUGGAGGAGGAGGCGAUGGUGGUUUUGAAGUGGAUGAUGGCCUUGGUUUAAGCGACUGAUAAUAUAAUAGUAUGGUGCUGCAGACUGACAUAUAGGUGUUGGGCUGGUGUGCCUUCUUUUGGACAUACAAAUCUAGGCUGCCUCAGAUGAUCAUAAAAUAACUUCAUUUUUCAUAUAGCCAUACACAACUCUGCAUUUGUUACUUAAAGACGACGAACUGAAAAGAUUGUAUGACAGCACGUCCUACACAGUACUUUUCUAAGACAAGUAAGCUUCCUCAAAGUAGCGUUGAAACAAGUCGUUCCGCAAAUAAAAACAACUCAUUAUGCAAAUAAAAGAUUCUGCACAACGAAUACAAAUGAGGUGAACGGGUAGGCCCAUACCUGGAAUUCAAGGCUUACAUUCAACAAUAGUGGACACAAGAGCCUGUUUACCAAUAAGAUGAACAAUUUAUUUUUCGGUAGCAUCAUCACCAACUAAUAUGAUUUGCUCAGCACCAAAGCCAUGCAGGUUACCAUGUUUACAUUUGUUUUCUCCAAAAAUAUUCACAGUUGCAUUUUUGUCAUUACCCGUUUCCAGGACUCCAGCAGCACAGGAAGUUCUCCAUAUACCGGACCAGUCUCUGGAUUAGCUUGUCAACACACUUGAUGGGAAAAAGCACAAGAGGUAAAUGAUACUUUGGGCCAUACAAAGAAUUCCACAAUGCAUGCGAAAAUUUUGGAACAUAUCGGAGAGAUGGCGUAGCUUGUUUUCCAUGUUUAUUUCCUUGCAUGCAUGCUUAAAGUGAUCGAAUAUCUUCAAAUCCCCCUUGCUAUAGUAUGCUCAGUGUCACCGGCAAAAUGGAAGCCCUCCUCAAAAUUUCUACGGACAUACUUAACAAGUGCUAUUUGUGUCAUGGUCAGAUCCUGUACCUCAUCUACGUAAACAAAAUCCACCAUAUCGCCAUUGUGUAGCCCUCAGAAACUAGACUUCCAUGAAGACAAUUCACAAAAUAUUGUCUGCAUGAUAUGCUGGUUACAAAUAAUGCCCGAAAAGAGAUUCUUUGGUUAUUGGGGUUAGACUAUCCUCAAUUGCUCCUAGGUGAUGCACACAAAAUAUUCGACAUACUCUAUCCAAAAGACCCAAACUGGACAUUUUAGUAGCAAAAUGCAUAAAUACCGAUUAACAUGACCAUCCAUACUCACCAAAGAAGACAUCUAAGGUUUCUUUCCCUGGAUACUAAAUAGAAUGCAUAGACAUUGUUCAGUUUCUUUUCAUAAUUAUUAUUAUACAAACUAAUGCAAGUCUUUAUACUCUACUGACCCGUAAAAUAUGUGAUAUAUAUAAUUAUUUCAUUUUCUUUUCUCUAGAAAUCUCUGAUCAGAAGAGAUUAAGUUAAGCCAAUGCUGAUCAAAGUACAGCAUGCAAGAAAAAAAAAACUACAGCAGGUGAAAUGGCAAAGUUAACAGGAUGAUACUAAGAUAUACUACAUAUAUAUAGGAGACGAUUACCAUACGCAGUUCGAAACUCAAGACCGCCACCAUAGUGACAAUAUGAUAUCCUUAUCCCCAUCUACUUCCUGUAGGCUAGCACAGUAACACAAAAAACCGAACCGACCACAGAACACAGCAAAUCCAAGGCAAGCUUCCUAACACUUGAUGAAAAAAAAAAUGAAUGCAGACACCUAGUCGACCUCCUCCAUCUUGCUCUCGCCAGCGUCAUCCUCCAGUGCUGGCAUGUCGGUGUCAUCAGCAUCGGCGGCCUCAUCCUCAUCGAUGCUCAGGCCAAGCUUGAGCAUACGGUGGAUCCUGGUGCCGAAGGUGUUGGGGUCGUCCAGGCUGAAGCCAGAGGUGAGCAGGGAGGUCUCGAACAGCAGCAUCACCAAGUCCUUGACAGACUUGUCAUUCUUGUCAUCAUCCGCCCGCUUGCGCAGCUCCUCCAUGAUGGCGUUCUCCGGGUUGAUCUCCAUUGUCUUCUUGCUUGACAUGUAGCCUCCCAUGCUCGAGUCCCUCAGAGCCUGGGCCUUCAUGAUCCGCUCCAUGUUGGCAGUCCAGCCAUACUCACCAGUGACAAGACAGCACGGCGAGUCAACGACGCGGUCAGAGACAAUGACCUUCUCCACCCUGUCACCGAGCACAUCCUUGAUCACCUUGCAGAGGCCCUCAAACUUCUCCUUGAGCUCCUCCUUCCUCUUCUUCUCAUCCUCACUGUCCUCAAGCUUCAGGCCUUCCUUGGUGGCAGACACAAGCUUCUUUCCCUCGAACUCCUUGAGCUGGCCAAUGGCGUACUCAUCAAUGGCAUCAACCAUGAACAGGACUUCAUAGCCCUUCUUCUUUAGCCUCUCCAAGAAGGGAGAAUUCUCCACAGCCUUCUUGCUCUCGCCGGUGAUGUAGUAGAUGUCGUUCUGGCCCUCCUUCAUCCUGGUCACGUAGUCCUUGAGGCUGGUCAGCUCAUCACCACUCUUGGUGGAGUGGUACCUCAGGAGCUCAGAAAGCUUGGUCCUGUUGGUGGAGUCCUCAUGGACGCCAAGCUUGAGGUUCUUGGAGAAUGCCUCAUAGAACUUGUUGUAGUCCUCCUUGUUCUCAGCAAUCUCAAAGAACAGCUCAAUGGACUUCUUAACAAGGUUCUUCCGGAUGACCUUGAGGAUCUUGUUCUGCUGGAGCGUCUCUCUAGAGAUGUUGAGGGGAAGGUCCUCAGAGUCAACAAUUCCCUUGACAAAGCUCAGCCACUCAGGAAUCAGCUCCUCACAGUUGUCCAUGAUGAAGACACGGCGCACAUAGAGCUUGAUGUUGUUGGCCUUCUUCCUGGUGUCAAAGAGGUCGAAGGGGGCCCUCUUGGGGACAAAGAGAACAGCCUUGAACUCAAGCUGCCCUUCCACAGAGAAGUGCUUGACAGCUAGAUGCUCCUCCCAGUCGUUUGUCAAGCUCUUGUAGAAUGCAGCGUACUCCUCCUUAGUGAUCUCUUCAGGCUUCCUCAUCCAGAUAGGCUUCUGCUUGUUGAUCAGGGACCACUCAUGAGAAACCUCCUUGAUCUUCUUCUUCUUCUUUUCUUUUUCCUCCUUUUCUUCAUCAAUUUCCUCAACCUUGCCCUCCUCACUAUCCUUUUUCUCUUCCUCAUCCUCAUCAUCGGAAAUUUCCUUCUCAGUUGUCUUCUCAGUCCACAGAGAGAUAGGGUAGCUGAUAAACUCAGAGUGUUUCUUCACCAGAUCCUUAAGGCGCCGCUCCUCGAGGUACUCCAACUGCACAGUAGAAGCAAAUUGUUAGGGACAAUUAACACGCCACAAGUUAUCAGUAACAAUAUGAGUAAAGAAGAAUCUGCUGCAGUCUGACCUAUGUGCAGUGAUACUUAAGUUGAGAAAAAACUUGCUCGAUGAAUUAUUUUGAUUAAUUUUACUGAUUCUACAUAGUAAUAGUGAAGCCAACUUGAAAGCAACAACAUUCUCCAAAAAAAAAACUUCACAGCAACAACAAAGCAACAGGAAAUAAUUCCGUUUCAAACUAGGGAUGCAAACGGGACCCUGCAAAGGCCCACUACUAGUUCAAUCGUCAAAUCUCCUAUUCGAAAUUUGAAUGGGAAAUGAAAUUCAAGAAUUGAACGAAACAGGAUCACAUUUGCAUCGCAAUUCAAUACAACAACAAACAAUAAUGCUGAUUAAUUUCAUUCCAAAGGCCAAACAAUAAAUUAACUUAGCAAGUAUAUUCCAUUUCAUUGCAAACAGAUGGCCAUAAAUUCAAAACAUAGACCAUAGCAGGUACCAACAGGGGACUGAACCAACAGGAAAUUCUUAAACCCAAAUUCAACAUUCAACUUCCAUUAAAGCUCACAUUCCAACAGUGAAUUGAGCAUAUGAAGAAGCAGGAAAUUCUUGUACCCAAAUUUGAACAUCCAACUUCAAUUAACCCUCACAUUUUCAGCAUUGAAUUGAGUAUCACUAACAAAGCCAGGGACCAUUUGGUCAUUACAACAACAGUAAUACAACAAGGGAGGGAAAUGAGCAGCACACGAUAAGGAUAUCUCAUGAGAAGUUCUAAUUAGCCACACAAACAAUCAGCACUAUCCAAAUCAAACUAAGCUGCAAACAGGACAUGGCUCAGGUAAAUUGUGCAAGCACUUUAGCUAUUGGCCAGGUAGCUAGUGCAAGCAAAUAUUUAUUUUCUCCUAACAUUACCCAGGUAGCAGGUACAGGUAGUAAAUUAUUAUUCGGUGAGCUAUAUUUUGUUUUACCUGAUCAUCCUUGAGGUAGAGGGUGAUCUUGGUACCCCUUCCAAGGGGCUCUCCAUCAUCACGGGUGACUGUGAAGGACCCACCCGCCUGAGACUCCCACACAUACUGCUCAUCGUCGUUGUGCUUGGUAGUCACAACGACCCUCUCCGCAACAAGGUAAGCAGAGUAGAAGCCAACACCAAACUGACCAAUCAUGGACACAUCAGCACCAGCAGCCAGUGCCUCCAUGAACUCCUUCGUCCCAGACCUUGCAAUUGUACCAAGGUUGUUCACCAAAUCUGACUUUGUCAUACCGAUACCACUGUCGAUGAGCGUGAGUGUGUUCGUGGCCUUGUCAGGGACAAUGUGGAUGAAUAGCUCUGGC
rnacentral:lncRNA from 1 species